rnacentral:rRNA from 1 species
GUUGACCUCGGAUCAGGUAGGACCGGACGCUAACUUAAGCAUAUCAUA